rnacentral:lncRNA from 1 species
UCCUUCUCAUUACUCAAAGGAAGUAUUUAUACAAAGGACUCACACGCACUAGCCAGCCAUCACGUCCGGCCACCACGCACGCCCUAAACGGUCGCCACACUCGGCCACUACUCCAACUACCUACAUGCAUGCAUGCCCACACCCAGCGCGUGGCCAGCAUCCUCCUAUAACGGCCAGCCACAGGACCUAAAUGCCAUGCAAAGCACACAUACGUAGCUAGAUACUAACAAACUAACAGACUGAGCUGAUUCUACGCCACAGCUCCAAGCCUCCAACUGUGACAUAGACGCACGCAAUACACCUAGACGUGGUUUACUCCUAACAUACUCUCCCUAAACCACGAUCUUGCCGUCGCCGGAGUUGUUGCAGCUCCUGUCAUUGUCGUCAUGGCCGUGACCCAGCCCGCGGACCCGACCCGGUGCAUCGACGCCGGUCGCAUUGCGACGGACCCGACCUGGCGCACUCGCCGAGCUCCAUCUCCGCCGGCGACACACGCCUGGCGUCCCUCCGCGCCCCGCACGUCCCGCGCGCACCCGACGCGCCCGACGAGCCCGACUGCACCAGUCGCUCACCGCGUGCCGCCUCCGCGUCCGCCAUGGCAGCCGCCACGCCGCGCCUCCGUGCCAUGCACCUUCCACGGUUGUCGCCCCGAGCCGUCGCGACCUCUGCGCCACCACGCAGGUCCUUCGCGACCUCCUCGUCUCCGCGACCGUCGUGCCCUUCGCGCGCACUCCCCACGUCCCCGUGCUCCCGGCCCGCGCUCCCGCCGCUCCCGCCGCACACGUACGCGAUCUGCGCAACCAGGUCCAGCGCCUCGACGCGGUCCACUCCCGCGGUCCCGACGCGCCCGACACGUCCAGUGCGCACCCAUAACACGCACCGGUCGUGCCCGGCUCGCCGCCGGGUCUUAUUGCCCUGCACCGCCGCGGCCUCCAUGCCGCCAUGCAGUGCCUCCACGCCGCCACACCGUGUUGCGCCGCCGCGCCACGGCGCAGCGCCUCGGCGGCCUCCGCACGUACAACGUCACCGCCCGCCGCCUUCGCCACAUGCCACGGCCGCCCCUCGAACCUUGUGGCUCUGAAUACCAAUUGUUGACGCCUCCUCCUCGCCGCAGCGCCCUUCUUCUACCUCUUGCCUCACUCAAGGAGAAACUCCACACACACACACACGCACACAUGCACCAAGGAAGAACAUACAAGCUUUGCCAAGAAGCUCCCUUGGUGAUCACACGGUGGCUACAUUGUUUUUCCAACCCACUCAGCCUCCUUCUCAUUACUCAAAGGAAGUAUUUAUACAAAGGACUCACACGCGCUAGCCAGCCAUCACGUCCGGCCACCACGCACGCCACACUCGGCCGCCACACGUGGCAUUUACAAAUCACAAAGCAUCCAUCCCACCCCCACCUGAAAUCAGGGGAGAAAGAUUAGAUGCUUUGUAAUUUGUGAAUGCCACAUGUCAUCCAUCAGGGCGGGUCUCACCUGAUUUAUAUGAGACCCAGUCUUAUAUAAUUUUUUUCCCUCGGCCACUACUCCAACUACCUACAUGCAUGCAUGCCCACACCCAGCGCGUGGCCAGCAUCCUCCUAUAACGGCCAGCCACAGGACCUGAAUGCCAUGCAAAGCACACAUACGUAGCUAGAUACUAACAAACUAACAGACUGAGCUGACCCUACGCCACAGCUCCAAGCCUCCAACUGAUUCAUCCAACGUGACAUAGACGCACGCAACACACCUAGACGUGGUUUACUCCUAACA